rnacentral:rRNA from 1 species
UACGUAGGGGACGAGCGUUGUCCGGAAUUAUUGGGCGUAAAGAGCGUGUAGGCGGCUCUGCAAGUCCUGCGUGAAAUCUCGAGGCUCAACCUCGAGCGGUCGUGGGAAACUGGAGGGCUAGAGUGCGGGAGAGGGAAGUGGAAUUCCAGGUGUAGCGGUGAGAUGCGCAGAUAUCUGGAAGAACACCCGUGGCGAAGGCGGCUUCCUGGAACGACACUGACGCUGAGACACGAAAGCGUGGGUAGCAAACAGG